rnacentral:rRNA from 1 species
AGUGAACGCUGGCGGUAGGCCCAACACAUGCAAGUCGAACGGCAGCACAGUAAGAGCUUGCUCUUACGGGUGGCGAGUGGCGGACGGGUGAGGAAUACAUCGGAAUCUACUUUUUCGUGGGGGAUAACGUAGGGAAACUUACGCUAAUACCGCAUACGACCUACGGGUGAAAGCAGGGGAUCUUCGGACCUUUCGCGAUUGACUGAGCCGAUGUCGGAUUAGCUAGUUGGCGGGGUAAAGGCCCACCAAGGCGACGAUCCGUAGCUGGUCUGAGAGGAUGAUCAGCCACACUGGAACUGAGACACGGUCCAGACUCCUACGGGAGGCAGCAGUGGGGAAUAUUGGACAAAGGGCGCAAGCCUGAUCCAGCCAGACCGCGUGGGUGAAGAAGGCCUUCGGGUUGUAAAGCCCUUUUGUUGGGAAAGAAAAGCAGCAGGUUAAUACCCCGCUGUUCUGACGGUACCCAAAGAAUAAGCACCGGCUAACUUCGUG